AGUGACUGCUGUUAGUACUGUAUUCCUGGGGAAGGACGUAUCUGUUUCCCUUUCCAGGUUGAUAUGUGCGCAGCUUGCCCCUCAUUCAUCAGCGAGGCCACGGUGGUGAGCAAAGCUGGCAGCCUUCAUGGGGCUGGUAGGCUGUAUCCCUUGAGGGAGUCCCUGCCCGGGGCAGAAGUCACCUGGGUAGUUGGGGACACAGAUGCUUUUUUUUGGUGGCAGCAUUGCACAGUCACAGUGAGCUGCUGUGCCAAUCCUAAGUAUUUUUAUUUUGAACCUCUUCACCCUUGGGGUAUGAAAUGAGGAUUAGAGAAUUUGUUGCAUAUUGGUUUUCAGGAUUUAUGAGUAUGAACAAAAGAGAAUUCACACUCUGAUCCUAUGC
rnacentral:lncRNA from 1 species